UGUCUUAUGGACAAACACAAGAUCCCUUUCCCCUUCACACUGCUGCUCCAUCAGUGGACCAACACCUGACAUGCACCAAUUUAAAUCAAGGUCUGACCUCUACAGGGAAGAAGUGUCUUCAAAAGAUGUGUCAGGACUGCCCAAAAUCAUGGCAAAAAGCAGUGAUGGAACCACUGACAUCACUUUGUGUCCCAAAAAGACAUGGAAUGUUGAGGGACUGGCUUCCUGGCACAGAAAGAGACAGAAAAGCAGGA